CUGCGCGCGCCCCGCCGGGUGGGCAGGACUUCCGCCUCUCUGAGCUGCCCCUAGCGCUUGGGCACUUUCCUGAGGACCCCGGGUGAUCGCAGGAAGGCCCGCAUCGCAACCUAGCCUCGGGCCUCUGCCUGGGGUGCCGCGCAGCGCUGUCCGCCUCGGAGCUGGAGCCCGCCCCCGGGCCGCGUCUCUGGGGCCGGGAGCGUCCAGCGGCCGUCUCUGAGGUGUCCGGCGAGCCAGGGCGUCUUCCCGCCUGUCCGCUAGAGCUGACUGUGGAACAAUGAAUACGGAACCCGGCCUCCUACCACUACAAUAACACCUGCUGAGCACCUCCAGGUGGCCUGCACUCUGCUAAAACCUUCACUUGGUAUCCUCAUACCAACCAGAGUUGAGAAUAAGGUUUCUGUUGUCGCGAUUCUACAGGAUUUCAAGAGUUCCAUCCCCUGCCUUGACUCUUCAACCUCUCAAGACUUUAUUUGCAACCCUCAGGGCAUCAUGGCAAAUUCUUUGAAAGGCGCAUUAUGAGGGGGUGUUUAAUGCCUCUUGAAUACUUAAAGAAUAUUUCUAUUGAUAAUUAUUUUAUGAAUUUUAUUAAGCAAUGUACUUAAUAGGAAAUUAAAAUAUCAAUAAAAUAAAAUAUUAAAUGUUAAUG
rnacentral:lncRNA from 1 species